rnacentral:rRNA from 1 species
GAGGGGGACCUUCGGGCCUCUUGCCAUCGGAUGUGCCCAGAUGGGAUUAGCUAGUAGGUGGGGUAACGGCUCACCUAGGCGACGAUCCCUAGCUGGUCUGAGAGGAUGACCCGCCACACUGGAACUGAGACACGGUCCAGACUCCUACGGGAGGCAGCAGUGGGGAAUAUUGCACAAUGGGCGCAAGCCUGAUGCAGCCAUGCCGCGUGUAUGAAGAAGGCCUUCGGGUUGUAAAGUACUUUCAGCGGGGAGGAAGGCGAUAAGGUUAAUAACCUUGUCGAUUGACGUUACCCGCAGAAGAAGCACCGGCUAACUCCGUGCCAGCAGCCGCGGUAAUACGGAGGGUGCAAGCGUUAAUCGGAAUUACUGGGCGUAAAGCGCACGCAGGCGGUCUGUCAAGUCGGAUGUGAAAUCCCCGGGCUCAACCUGGGAACUGCAUUCGAAACUGGCAGGCUAGAGUCUUGUAGAGGGGGGUAGAAUUCCAGGUGUAGCGUUGAAAU